rnacentral:tRNA from 1 species
GCUCGUGUAGCUCAGUCUGGUUAGAGCGCCGUACUUAUAAUGCGGAUGUCGCGGGUUCAAAUCCCGUCACGAGUA